rnacentral:rRNA from 1 species
CGUUCAGGGGUAAACCUGCGAAUUUCGAAUGAACGAACGGGGAGAUUCAUCGUCAUACGGCGGACGGCGUUGCCGUUGCGUGAUGCGUGACCCACGGGCGAUUUCGGUCGUCAGUGCGAGCCGCGCACGUGCAUGGUUUCGUAUAAGCGUCCGUUGACGGCGUGCACUUCUCCCUUAGUACUGCAUCGCGACCCGCUCGAUGUCGACCUAAGCGCUGUCCGGGAGCCCGGAGUGUUUAAACGCACUUCGGACCGUGACGGUUGCCGGCCGGCUGUCGGGCGGUAGUGAACAAGAAACGCGCACGCGCUAGUCGCGUUCGGCCCGACGCAAGGUCGUUUUGAUGCCGCCGUCACGCCUUUGUGCGUACGAUGUGCGUCUGGCGCCUGCUUAUCGCAGCCGUGUUGUCUCGAACGUGCGUGUAUCGAGUCAGCGAUGUUUUUGUUUCGGGCACUCGCAGGACCCGUCUUGAAACACGGACCAAGGAGUCUAGCAUGUGUGCGAGUCACUAGGUACACUAAACCGAAAGGCAUAACGAAAGUGAAGGCGCGCGCUCGACGCGUGCUCGGGGAGGAUGACUUGGACUAACCAUGUCCUUGUCCGCACUCCCGAGGCGUCCCGUUCGCAAUCUGUCGAUGUGGGCGCGCUCAGAGCACACAUGCUGGGACCCGAAAGAUGGUGAACUAUGCCUGGUCAGGUCGAAGUCAGGGGAAACCCUGAUGGAGGACCGUAGCGAUUCUGACGUGCAAAUCGAUCGUCGGAACUGGGUAUAGGGGCGAAAGACUAAUCGAACCAUC